rnacentral:rRNA from 1 species
AUUGGACGCUGGCGGCAGGCUUAACACAUGCAAGUCGAGCGGGGAAAGGUAGCUUGCUACCUGACCUAGCGGCGGACGGGUGAGUAAUGCUUAGGAAUCUGCCUAUUAGUGGGGGACAACAUCUCGAAAGGGAUGCUAAUACCGCAUACGUCCUACGGGAGAAAGCAGGGGGCCUUCGGGCCUUGCGCUAAUAGAUGAGCCUAAGUCGGAUUAGCUAGUUGGUGGGGUAAAGGCCUACCAAGGCGACGAUCUGUAGCGGGUCUGAGAGGAUGAUCCGCCACACUGGGACUGAGACACGGCCCAGACUCCUACGGGAGGCAGCAGUGGGGAAUAUUGGACAAUGGGGGGAACCCUGAUCCAGCCAUGCCGCGUGUGUGAAGAAGGCCUUUUGGUUGUAAAGCACUUUAAGCGAGGAGGAGGCUACCGAGAUUAAUACUCUUGGAUAGUGGACGUUACUCGCAGAAUAAGCACCGGCUAACUCUGUG